AGCUGAUAGGGAAAAAAUCAACUCAUUUGAGAUGUGGUGUUGGAGGAAAACUUUGAGAAUACUGUGAACCACCAAAAAGAUCAAUGGAUGACUCCUAGAACAAAUCAGGCCUGAACUCACCCUAGAAGCAAAGAUGACUAAACUGAGCUUGUCCUAUUCUGGCUAUACUGUAUCACAAAAAGAAAGGACUAACUAGAAAAGACUAUAAUGCUUGGGAAAGUAGAGGGCAAUAGGGAAAAGGGAAGAACUCAUUCCAGAUGGUUAGACACAAUCAAAGAAGCCAUGGCCAUGAGUCUAAGGAGCUGAGCAGAGUGGCUGAGGAUAGGAUGACUUGGAGGUCUUUCAUGGGCUGAAAAGGCUUGAAGUCGGCUCUAAGGCACGCAACUACACCACCACCAAGGCCGAUUCAAGAUAUUGGCACAGAAAGUUUUAGACUGUUUUAUAACCAAUUCACAAUUCUAUGCUGUAUAUCUACUUAGAGGAACAAGUACAAGUGACAUUCUAGGUCCCAGUAUACCCCAAAUAUUUCCCAAGGAGCUCAGGUGUUCGAUAAAAGGCAUUCAUUUGGAUGGUCCAUGGACUGAAAGAUGAUGCUCUAUUCAUGAAGCCACAAACAGACAGGCCAUUGUUUUCAGACUGUCCUGAUUUUGCAUACGACCAUAUCUCGUUUCCAUCCCAUUUGUGCAAUAGCAUGAUGUUUGAAGAAAACAAAGUAUAAAUAAUGUAUAUAAAUAUGAACUUAAUUUUCUAAUUUUGAAUGCGUUUUUUCACAAACCUUUUUGUCAAGUAGAUACUUCAAAAAUAAUUUAUGGUAAAAUAUUCAUACAGUACUUGAAUGCUUAUUGGUACUUCUUGAGAGAAAAACUCAACAUUCUGUAUUGCAAAAUUUGAAAAAUUGUGAAAUUUGGAGGAUAAUUGAAAAUGUGGAUUUUUCCAAUCCAUGUUGCAGUCUAAGUGGUAUGUAUCUGAUCAUUUCACACUGGAAUUUAGAAAACAUAAAUUCAACAAGUCAGGCCUAUUUUAAGUUCUACAAUUGUAUGCAAGAUAUUCUAUUCCACUUCUCUCUGUUCAACAAAAACUAUGUUUUAAAUCAGAAAUAUUCUGAAUGUUGCACUAUAGUCAGUGAUAAAUGGAACAUGUUUUUAAAAUAGGCACUUGGAUAAUUGAAGCACAUUUAUCUAUAAAGUUAUACUUUGGGAAAGCAGGUCCAUUAUAUCACGGCUUUCCAGUCCAUGUUGCUUAGACAUACAAGCUAGACCUCAGUCUGUGCUAUACUCCCUUUAGUCUACAAA